rnacentral:rRNA from 1 species
CACGUAGGGCGCAAGCGUUGUCUGGAAUUAUUGGGCGUAAAGAGCGUGUAGGCGGUCCGGUAAGUCCGCUGUGAAAGUCGGGGGCUCAACCCUCGAAUGCCGGUGGAUACUGUCGGGCUAGAGUGCGGAAGAGGCGAGUGGAAUUCCUGGUGUAGCGGUGAAAUGCGCAGAUAUCAGGAGGAACACCUAUUGCGAAGGCAGCUCGCUGGGACGUAACUGACGCUGAGACGCGAAAGCGUGGGGAGCAAACAGG